CCCUUAGAUGUUCUGGGCCGCACGCGCGCUACACUGAUGCAUUCAACGAGUCUAAAACCUGGUCUGAUAGGGCUGGGUAAUCUUUUGAAUGUGCAUCGUGAUUGGGAUAGAUGAUUGCAAUUCUUCAUCUUCAACGAGGAAUGCCUAGUAAACACAAGUCAUCAGCUUGCAUUGAUUAUGUCCCUGCCCUUUGUACACACCGCCCGUCGCUCCUACCGAUUGAAUGUUCCGAUGAAUACCAUGGACUGAGAGUAUGAAUGGGUUCGCCUAUUUCUGCUUCUCGGGAAGUGGAGUAAAUCUUAACAUUUAGAGGAAGGAGAAGUCGUAACA
rnacentral:rRNA from 1 species